rnacentral:rRNA from 1 species
UACGAAGGGGGCUAGCGUUGCUCGGAAUCACUGGGCGUAAAGGGUGCGUAGGCGGGUUCUUAAGUCAGGGGUGAAAUCCUGGGGCUCAACCUCAGAAUUGCCUCCGAUACUGGCAGUCUCGAGUGCGGGAGAGGUGAGUGGAAUUCCCAGUGUAGAGGUGAAAUUCGUAGAUAUUGGGAAGAACACCAGUGGCGAAGGCGGCUCACUGGCCCGUAACUGACGCUGAGGUGCGAAAGCGUGGGGAGCAAACAGG